GAUGAACGCUGGCGGCGUGCCUAAUACAUGCAAGUCGAGCGAACGGACGAGAAGCUUGCUUCUCUGAUGUUAGCGGCGGACGGGUGAGUAACACGUGGAUAACCUACCUAUAAGACUGGGAUAACUUCGGGAAACCGGAGCUAAUACCGGAUAAUAUUUUGAACCGCAUGGUUCAAAAGUGAAAGACGGUCUUGCUGUCACUUAUAGAUGGAUCCGCGCUGCAUUAGCUAGUUGGUAAGGUAACGGCUUACCAAGGCAACGAUGCAUAGUCGACCUGAGAGGGUGAUCGGCCACACUGGAACUGAGACACGGUCCGGACUCCUACGGGAGGCAGCAGUAGGGAAUCUUCCGCAAUGGGCGAAAGCCUGACGGAGCAACGCCGCGUGAGUGAUGAAGGUCUUCGGAUCGUAAAACUCUGUUAUUAGGGAAGAACAUAUGUGUAAGUAACUGUGCACAUCUUGACGGUACCUAAUCAGAAAGCCACGGCUAACUACGUG
rnacentral:rRNA from 1 species